rnacentral:rRNA from 1 species
UACGUAGGGGGCAAGCGUUGUCCGGAAUCAUUGGGCGUAAAGAGCGUGUAGGCGGCUUGGCAAGUCUCGCGUGAAAUCCUGCGGCUCAACCGCAGGCGGUCGUGGGAAACUGCCUCGCUAGGGUCCGGAAGAGGAGAGUGGAAUUCCGUGGUGUAGCGGUGGAAUGCGCAGAUAUCAGGAAGAACACCCGUGGCGAAGGCGGCUCACUGGCCCGUAACUGACGCUGAGGCACGAAAGCGUGGGAGCAAACAGG